UACGGGGGGGGCAAGCGUUGUUCGGAAUUACUGGGCGUAAAGGGCUCGUAGGUGGCCAACUAAGUCAUACGUGAAAUCUCCCGGCUCAACUGGGAGGGUGCGCCGAAAACUGGAGUGCUUGAGUGUGGGAGAGGAAAGCGGAAUUCCUGGUGUAGCGGUGAAAUGCGUAGAUAUCAGGAGGAACACCUGCGGUGUAGACGGCUUUCUGGACCAUUACUGACGCUGAGACACGAAAGCGUGGGUAGCAAACAGG
rnacentral:rRNA from 1 species